CUCCUCUUGUUAUAUAAGAGGUACCGUCUGCUCAAUGCAAUUUGUAAAUAGCCGCAGUAUUCUGACUGUGCUAAGGUAGCAUAAUCAUUAGUCUUUUAAUUGGAGGCUGGUAUGAAUGACGAGACGAGAAAAUGNCUGUCUCUAUAAUAAAUUUUGAAUUUUAUUUUUAAGUGAAAAAGCUUAAAUGAUUUUGAAGGACGAUCAGACCCUAUGGAGCUUUAUUUAUUUUUAAAUUUAAAUUUGUUUAAGAUGAUUGGAUGAAAAAUAAAUUUUGUUGGGGCGACAGGGAGUAAAAGAUAACACUCUUUUUUAUAAACAAUUAUAUUUGGAAAAUUGAUCCUUAUAGAGAGAUUAAAAGACUAAGUUACCCUAGGGAUAACAGCGUAAUCUUUUUGGAGAGUUCAAAUCGAUAAAAAGGUUUGCGACCUCGAUGUUGGAUUAAGAGAUUAGCAAGGUGCAGAAGUUUUGUUGGAGAGUCUGUUCGACUCU
rnacentral:rRNA from 1 species